GGGGCUGGGGUGACUUGCUGAGGGCAGGCCCAAGAGGGGUGCUGGGGUGUGGAGGGUCGUUUGCUGGGGACACCUGACAUGACAUAACCUCCUGCUGCUUUUUUGCUGCCCGUGUGCAUGAAGGUGUUGUGUUGGCUGUGCAGGGGCUGUGCUUCCUGCUCCCUGCACGGAGACAGCAGGUCUAAACCCCACCAUGCCUGGACGUGCCACGGAGGGCUCAGCUGUACCAAGGAGUCACUUGAGAGCCUCCCUGGGGAUUUGCCAGCCUGCUGAUGUGGCCAUUGGGCAGGUGCUCUGAGGGAGAGACCAUUUACUGGAGAGUGUGCCCUCUCUUCCCCAGCUGCUAAGGACAGAGAGAGACCGCAGGAACGUAUCUGCUUUGGCAGGACUCGUUACUGGAGUUGCUGAAGUCCAAGAGAGCCUGUCUGGUCAAGCAAAGGAAAAAUACUCCACCUCCUGACAUUAGACCCCUGCUCCCUCCUCCCCGGGCUUGCUUUUCCAG